UAACAGCUCAAAUUUGAAAUCUGGCUCCUUCGGAGUCCGAGUUGUAAUUUGUAGAAGAUGCUUUGGGUUGUGGGCUCGGCCUAAGUUCCUUGGAACAGGACGUCAUAGAGGGUGAGAAUCCCGUAUGUGGCCAUGGCCCGCGCCUAUGUAAAGCUCUUUCGACGAGUCGAGUUGUUUGGGAAUGCAGCUCAAAAUGGGUGGUAAAUUUCAUCUAAAGCUAAAUAUGGGCCAGAGACCGAUAGCGCACAAGUAGAGUGAUCGAAAGAUGAAAAGCACUUUGGAAAGAGAGUUAAACAGUACGUGAAAUUGUUGAAAGGGAAGCGCUUGCAACCAGACUUGGGCGCUGCCGAUCACCCCGAGUUCUCUCGGGUGCACUCGACAGCGCACAGGCCAGCAUCGGUUCGGGUGGCUGGAUAAAGGCCGUAGGAAUGUAGCUCUCUUCGGGGAGUGUUAUAGCCCACGGUGCCAUGCAGCCCAGCCGGACCGAGGACCGCGCCUUCGGGCUAGGAUGCUGGCGUAAUGGUUGUAAGCGACCCG
rnacentral:rRNA from 1 species